rnacentral:rRNA from 1 species
GSUUACCAUGCAAGUCGAACGGUGAAGCAGGAGCUUGCUCUUGUGGAUCAGUGGCGAACGGGUGAGUAACACGUGAGCAACCUGCCCCGGACUCUGGGAUAAGCGCUGGAAACGGCGUCUAAUACUGGAUAUGAGACGUGAUCGCAUGGUCAACGUCUGGAAAGAUUUUUCGGUCUGGGAUGGGCUCGCGGCCUAUCAGCUUGUUGGUGAGGUAAUGGCUCACCAAGGCGUCGACGGGUAGCCGGCCUGAGAGGGUGACCGGCCACACUGGGACUGAGACACGGCCCAGACUCCUACGGGAGGCAGCAGUGGGGAAUAUUGCACAAUGGGCGAAAGCCUGAUGCAGCAACGCCGCGUGAGGGAUGACGGCCUUCGGGUUGUAAACCUCUUUUAGCAGGGAARAAGCGAGAGUGACGGUACCUGCAGAAAAAGCGCCGGCUAACUACGUGCCAGCAGCCGCGGUAAUACGUAGGGCGCAAGCGUUAUCCGGAAUUAUUGGGCGUAAAGAGCUCGUAGGCGGUCUGUCGCGUCUGCUGUGAAAACUGGAGGCUCAACCUCCAGCCUGCAGUGGGUACGGGCAGACUAGAGUGCGGUAGGGGAGAUUGGAAUUCCUGGUGUAGCGGUGGAAUGCGCAGAUAUCAGGAGGAACACCGAUGGCGAAGGCAGAUCUCUGGGCCGUAACUGACGCUGAGGAGCGAAAGGGUGGGGAGCAAACAGGCUUAGAUACCCUGGUAGUCCACCCCGUAAACGUUGGGAACUAGUUGUGGGGUCCUUUCCACGGAUUCCGUGACGCAGCUAACGCAUUAAGUUCCCCGCCUGGGGAGUACGGCCGCAAGGCUAAAACUCAAAGGAAUUGACGGGGACCCGCACAAGCGGCGGAGCAUGCGGAUUAAUUCGAUGCAACGCGAAGAACCUUACCAAGGCUUGACAUACACGAGAACGGGCCAGAAAUGGUCAACUCUUUGGACACUCGUGAACAGGUGGUGCAUGGUUGUCGUCAGCUCGUGUCGUGAGAUGUUGGGUUAAGUCCCGCAACGAGCGCAACCCUCGUUCUAUGUUGCCAGCACGUAAUGGUGGGAACUCAUGGGAUACUGCCGGGG